rnacentral:rRNA from 1 species
UACGUAGGGGGCAAGCGUUAUCCGGAUUCACUGGGUGUAAAGGGAGCGUAGACGGCGACGCAAGUCUGGAGUGAAAGCCCGGGGCCUAACCCCGGGACUGCUCUGGAAACUGCGUCGCUGGAGUACGGGAGGGGCAGGCGGAAUUCCUGGUGUAGCGGUGAAAUGCGUAGAUAUCAGGAGGAACACCGGCGGCGAAGGCGGCCUGCUGGACCGUGACUGACGUUGAGGCUCGAGAGCGUGGGGAGCAAACAGG